GACGAACGCUGGCGGCGUGCCUAAUACAUGCAAGUCGAACGCUGAAGGAGGAGCUUGCUCUUCUGGAUGAGUUGCGAACGGGUGAGUAACGCGUAGGUAACCUGCCUGGUAGCGGGGGAUAACCAUUGGAAACGAUAGCUAAUACCGCAUAAUAGUAGAUGUUGCAUGAUAUUUACUUAAAAGGUGCAAUUGCACCACUACCAGAUGGACCUGCGUUGUAUUAGCUAGUUGGUGGGGUAACGGCUCACCAAGGCGACGAUACAUAGCCGACCUGAGAGGGUGAUCGGCAACACUGGGACUGAGACACGGCCCAGACUCCUACGGGAGGCAGCAGUAGGGAAUCUUCGGCAAUGGACGAAAGUCUGAACGAGCAACGCCGCGUGAGUGAAGAAGGUUUUCGGAUCGUAAAGCUCUGUUGUAAGAGAAGAACGAGUGUGAGAGUGGAAAGUUCACACUGUGACGGUAUCUUACCAGAAAGGGACGGCUAACUACGUG
rnacentral:rRNA from 1 species